UACAGAGGUCCCAAGCGUUGUUCGGAUUCACUGGGCGUAAAGGGUGCGUAGGUGGUUAGGUAAGUCCGAUGUGAAAUCUCCAGGCUCAACCUGGAAAUGGCAUUGGAUACUAUCUAGCUUGAGGAGUGGAGGGGGGACUGGAAUUCUCGGUGUAGCAGUGAAAUGCGUAGAUAUCGAGAGGAACACCAGUGGCGAAGGCGAGUCCCUGGACAGUAACUGACGCUGAGGAGCGAAAGCGUGGGGAGCGAACAGG
rnacentral:rRNA from 1 species